AGCGUUUUAUGCAGCCAAGAAUGACUUGCCGACACGCUGCUCUGAUCUGUGUUUGCAGCUCUAAUGUGUUCAUGUACGUUUAUUAUUGUUUUUCUGAGUUGCAGACAUAUGUUACUCGAGUCGUGGGCAAGUUGUUCUUGACUACAUAUAGCGCUCU
rnacentral:pre_miRNA from 1 species